CUCCCGCAAGCACUUCCGUACGACGGCGGCCUCCAUGACGCAACGCUCCUCCUCGAGGCGGGUGGCGGUGCAGGCAGCGGACUCGUGCGCCAGGCGGGCCGCGACGAGGUGCGCUAGGCGGGCGACGGCGAGGCCGCAGCAGGAGCGGGGCCCGGCAGGGAGAAGGUCAGGUCGAGGCGGCGGUGUUCGCUGCCACGGCGUGAUCGGCGUCCAGCGGCUCUGAGGCCCAGGCGCGCGACGGCUGCUCUUGUCGGACUCCUCGGUCACGUACGCGAGCCGCAUCCGGACAUCCUGCUCCGCGGCCUUGGCCAGCUCUAGCUCCAGCUCCGCCACUGCUUCCUCGUACCUCUACUGCACCUCGGCCUCCUUCGGUCCUUCCUGCCCGCCUCGGAACUGAGGGUCUCGUUUUCCUCCGCCAUGCUCUACAGCGCGUUCUCCUUGUCAAUCUGCAAGCCGGAGCUCCAUCUCCUGCUUCUAUCCAGGUCCGGGACGCAGGAUGGAAGGAGAGGUGGGCGACGACGAGGCCACAGCUGAAGCAGGGUGUCGUCGGGCCUGGAGGGGAGAAGGACGAGUCGAGGCGGCGGUAGGGCUCCUGGCCAGCAGUGUUCGUUGCGGGGGCGAGGAUGUGAGGCAGGCGAAGCAGAAGGCGGAGGGGUGUUAGAGGAGGACCGUGGGUGAAAAUAACGGAGGACAUAGGGAGGCUUUUGCAAAUUAUAGGUAUCUGACAUGUGGGCCCGGGCCACGUGGCAAAGGUCAAACCGUCACGUAGAACGAUCAAGACCGAUUAGAGAGACGCAUACACAAAUAUGACCUGCAGUGAACUAAUUAUCAAAGAUAUAGGACCUACACGUGCACUUUCAAACAAUUAGGGCUAACCUGACACCUUUGUGAAAAUAUUAGGACCGUGGGUGCAUUUUACUCCUCCAUCAUAUCCAUCGCAUCACUCACGAAUCGAGGUGGGGAACCAGAGGUGUUAUGGCUCCUUUUAUUUUUCAUGGAGAUUAACGAUGGAGCAAUGUUUCAGUAACCCUCCUUCCAAGUGGCAUGGUCCUGUCCAGAGUGUGUCUAAUGGUCCUAGGUUCGCAUCACUUUUCACGUGGUUAUCAAAACCUACCACCUGCGACUUUCAAUCUAAUGACAAUUCUGUUUUCGUCAGGUUUUUGUUAUUAAUGCUUGCUUUUCUUCAAUCCAUUGUACCAUUUUUCGUUAUCAAUAAUAU